GUCGAGAAUAAUUCACAAUGGACGAAAGUCUGAUGGUGCAACGCCGCGUGGAGGAUGAAGGUCUUCGGAUUGUAAACUCCUGUCAUCGGGGAGUAAGACCUGGCGGUAAAUAGCCGACAGGGUUGAUAGUACCGGAAGAGGAAGGGACGGCUAACUUCGUGCCAGCAGCCGCGGUAAUACGAAGGUCCCAAGCGUUGUUCGGAAUCACUGGGCGUAAAGGGUGCGUAGGCGGCGUGGUAAGUCAGAUGUGAAAUCCCGGGGCUCAACCUCGGAACUGCAUCCGAUAAUGCCAUGCUUGAGGGCUGGAGAGGUAACUGGAAUUCUCGGUGUAGCAGUGAAAUGCGUGGAUAUCGAGAGGAACACUCGUGGCGAAGGCGAGUUACUGGACAGCAUCUGACGCUGAGGCACGAAGGCCAGGGGAGCGAAAGGGAUUAGAAACCCCGGUAGUCC
rnacentral:rRNA from 1 species